rnacentral:rRNA from 1 species
AGUAGUUUGAUCCUGGCUCAGGAUGAACGCUGGCGGCGUGCCUAAUACAUGCAAGUCGAACGGUAAGGCUUCCACUCUGUGUUUAAUGAUUUGAACAUAGUGUGGAAGUACACGAGUGGCGGACGGCUGAGUAACGCGUAGGAAUGUACCCCAAAGUGAGGGAUAAGCACCGGAAACGGUGUCUAAUACCGCAUGUGCUCUAAGGAGUAAAGCUUCGGCGCUUUGGGAACGGCCUGCGUAUGAUUAGCUUGUUGGUGAGGUAAUGGCUCACCAAGGCGACGAUCAUUAGCUGGUCUGAGAGGAUGAUCAGCCAGACUGGGACUGAGACACGGCCCAGACUCCUACGGGAGGCAGCAGUAGGGAAUUUUCCACAAUGGGCGAAAGCCUGAUGGAGCAACGCCGCGUGCAGGAUGAAGGCCUUCGGGUUGUAAACUGCUUUUAUAAGUGAAGAUUAUGACGGUAACUUAUGAAUAAGGAUCGGCUAACUCCGUG